CCAUGUGGAGGGCAAGUCUGGUGCCAGCAGCCGCGGUAAUUCCAGCUCCAAUAGCGUAUAUUAACGUUGUUGCAGUUAAAAAGCUCGUAGUUGAAGUGUGGGUGAUCGCUGUUGUGAGACUUCGGUCUCUCGACAGUAAGUCACCCCCUUCCAGUAUCCAGUAGUGGGUAUUCACUUACUUACUAUUGUGUGUUGGUCCUUUACUGUGAGAAAAUUAGAGUGUUCAAAGGAGGCGUUUGCUUGAAUAGAUUAGCAUGGAAUAAUAAUUGAAGGCUUUCGUGUUCGAUUUGAUUGGUUUGUUCAUGGAAGCAAGGUUAAAAGGAACAGUUGGGGGUAUUCAUAUUCACAAGUUAGAGGUGAAAUUCUCGGAUUUAUGGAAGAUGAACAAGUGCGAAAGCA
rnacentral:rRNA from 1 species